ensembl:lncRNA
CGGAAAAGUGGAGCUCCUGGAAGGACGCUGGCCUCUCUUGCUGGCUCUCCUUUGGUCCACAGCAGGAGAAGCACAUGGCCCCUGUUUGCUUUUGCCUGCAGUCUACAGAGCAAACUCUGCUAGUGACCAGGUUGUUCUUGCAGAGGAGGACCUAGGCAGUCACCAACAUGUACAGGCUGGAAAGAAAGCUGUAACAACUUAAAAAUAUUCUGGACCUGCAAAGGAACCAGAUUUCGGAGUGAAAUCCUAGAUCAAAAAAGAAAAAAAGUUAAAUGAGCUUGAACAAAUGACAGCUAAGCUUUUCUUGUCAUUGACUGCUCCUGACUGCUGGGAAAAGAGCUGGAAGUUCUGAAAUAUCAAAGCAAAAUCUGUUCCUGCAAGAUUUCCAUCAGAGAGAGGAUUAACAGUCAACAAAUGAACAUCAGUGCAGUAUCUUUUGAAGUUUCUCCAUCUCUAUUGGUGAUGCUAUAGUGACUCUGUUGUUCCUGGUCUUCUCUUUCUAAAGUCUAUUUGCUUUUUUUUUUUUUUUUUUUUCUUUUGGGACAUUUAAUGUAAGUUACUGUAUUUGAAUUUCUGACUCAUCCUCUGUUGUCUGGUUCUGCGUACUGAAAAGUAUCAUUAUAUUCAAAGAGAACUGGUAACUGAAAUUAUAUAGGCUGUCAAUGUUCUCAUUCAGACUUCUCUUCAGCAUUAGAAUUCUGUGUGGUGUUGCAUGCUGUUAGUUGAAGAUUUAUUCUUGAACUUUUUAUUUUCACAAUUCCUUAUUAUCUAAUAACUAUACAGAAAUGUUAAUAGUCUUAUGACUAAACAGGUCAAUAUUCAUAUGAAUAUAUAUUUUUACUUGUUUAAUCUCAAUGAAAUAGCCUAGUAGAAAUUUAACACAUUUAAAACAUUCAAAUAAAAGCUUUUUUUACCCAAUCACAACAACAGCAACAACAAAAACAACAACAAAAACUCUAAUGCUCUUUUUUUGCACUGAAAAAAUCACCAACAUUAGAGUAACUUACAAUGAUAAAUCUCAAAAGACUUAUAUUCUUUAACUCAAGUUGAGACCAUUUGCUUAUUAUACAGGUUCACUGACCCAAAUCUUCUUCAUUCUACAUUAGAGAACUUGACCUGAGAUUUUCUUCUCCCUUCUCCCAGAUAUCACAUAAUGUUAUUUUUGCAUUUUCUGUUGCUGUAAAUAUUUAAUUAGCUACACAAAGUGAAACUAUUCCAAGAAGGAUGACAAAUUCACACUUAAAGUCAUUUGCAAUUGAAAGCUUUUGUAUGCACUGUAAAAUAAAGAUUCUGAACCCAUUUUUUCUUUUAUUUGAAGAAAGAUCUUUGACUUAUGAUUUCUUAACUAUUAAGAGGAAAUCUGUGCUUUGUCUAGCCUCUGCUCUGUUUUCUAGAAAAAUCAGAAAAGUCCUAUUUGUGUCUAGUGUUUAUGGACAUUACCUGCCCAUUUCUUGCUCCUGGCUGAGUUCCAUACAGCCACUAGAAAUCUGAUUUAGCAGGCAAUAUAAGCAUGCUGAAUCACACUAAGCAGUUCAAAAUAAUGUGAUUAAUCUGUUUGUUUCAUUUACCGCAUUCAGAUUUAUGUAGAAACUGGUGAGAGAAGCCCAGGAUCUUAUCAUCUAACAAUUAAACUAAUCUUGCAGUAUAUUUUAUAAUGUGACUCUAGGAUAAACCCCUACCAAAAUUGGCUUU